GACGCACGCUGGCGGCGUGCUUAACACAUGCAAGUCGAACGAAGUGGCGAACGGGUGAGUAACGCGUAAUCAACCUGCCAUUCAGAGGGGGACAACAGGUGGAAACGACUGCUAAUAACGCAUAUUGAAGGAGGGGAUUGCGUCGUAUUAGCUAGUUGGAGGGGUAACGGCCCACCAAGGCGAUGAUCAGUAGCCGGUGUGAGAGGAUGAACGGCCACAUUGGGACUGAGACAAGGCCCAGACGCCUACGGGAGGCAGCAGUGGGGAAUCUUCCGCAAUGGACGAAAGUCUGACGGAGCAAAGCCGCGUGAGUGAUGACGGCCUUCGGGUUGUAAAGCUUUGUUAAUCGGGACGCGGUACCGGAAUAGAUAGCCACGGCUAACGACGUGCCAGCAGCCGCGGUAAUUC
rnacentral:rRNA from 1 species